rnacentral:rRNA from 1 species
UGGGUAACCUGCCCAUCAGAAGGGGAUAACACUUGGAAACAGGUGCUAAUACCGUAUAACAAUCGAAACCGCAUGGUUUUGAUUUGAAAGGCGCUUUCGGGUGUCGCUGAUGGAUGGACCCGCGGUGCAUUAGCUAGUUGGUGAGGUAACGGCUCACCAAGGCCACGAUGCAUAGCCGACCUGAGAGGGUGAUCGGCCACAUUGGGACUGAGACACGGCCCAAACUCCUACGGGAGGCAGCAGUAGGGAAUCUUCGGCAAUGGACGAAAGUCUGACCGAGCAACGCCGCGUGAGUGAAGAAGGUUUUCGGAUCGUAAAACUCUGUUGUUAGAGAAGAACAAGGAUGAGAGUAACUGUUCAUCCCUUGACGGUAUCUAACCAGAAAGCCACGGCUAACUACGUGCCAGCAGCCGCGGUAAUACGUAGGUGGCAAGCGUUGUCCGGAUUUAUUGGGCGUAAAGCGAGCGCAGGCGGUUUCUUAAGUCUGAUGUGAAAGCCCCCGGCUCAACCGGGGAGGGUCAUUGGAAACUGGGAGACUUGAGUGCAGAAGAGGAGAGUGGAAUUCCAUGUGUAGCGGUGAAAUGCGUAGAUAUAUGGAGGAACACCAGUGGCGAAGGCGGCUCUCUGGUCUGUAACUGACGCUGAGGCUCGAAAGCGUGGGGAGCAAACAGGAUUAGAUACCCUGGUAGUCCACGCCGUAAACGAUGAGUGCUAAGUGUUGGAGGGUUUCCGCCCUUCAGUGCUGCAGCUAACGCAUUAAGCACUCCGCCUGGGGAGUACGACCGCAAGGUUGAAACUCAAAGGAAUUGACGGGGGCCCGCACAAGCGGUGGAGCAUGUGGUUUAAUUCGAAGCAACGCGAAGAACCUUACCAGGUCUUGACAUCCUUUGACCACUCUAGAGAUAGAGCUUCCCCUUCGGGGGCAAAGUGACAGGUGGUGCAUGGUUGUCGUCAGCUCGUGUCGUGAGAUGU